UACGAAGGGGGCUAGCGUUGCUCGGAAUCACUGGGCGUAAAAGGUGCGUAGGCGGGUUAUUAAGUCAGAGGUGAAAUCCUGGAGCUCAACUCCAGAACUGCCUUUGAUACUGAUAGUCUUGAGUAUGGGAGAGGUGAGUGGAACUGCGAGUGUAGAGGUGAAAUUCGUAGAUAUUCGCAAGAACACCAGUGGCGAAGGCGGCUCACUGGCCCAUUACUGACGCUGAGACGCGAAAGCGUGGGGAGCGAACAGG
rnacentral:rRNA from 1 species